GAGAAGGCAGCAGGGCAGCGCAGUGUCUUCGCCGCGGCCCUGGUUGCCUGUGCUGCUAGCCCAAGGUGGAGUGCCUGUGGCCACUUCAGCCUCAUCCCCUUCCCAGAUAAGGCCCUUCGUUAUGACGAUAAUUCCCAAUCACAUUCUCUGAGACCCCAGUGGAAGGACUGAGGAAUGGACCAAAAGACCUGGAAAAAGAAGAAGGAAAUACAAGAGAGAAGGAACAGAGUGAAAAUAAGGAGAUCAAGAGAAACAGAGCAGAGUGUGAGAGAGGUGAAAGAGGCACUGGACCAUGUGGAUAAGAAUGAUAGCAAAAACGAGAGAACGAGGAGCAGCAUAUAGGGGCUCACAAGACAAGAGAAAGAAAGAAACUAGUGCCCUUCCUGGGAAAUAGAAGAGCCCUGGGAUUCUUUGCCUUGGUUUCUGCUCAAAGAGACUGUUGCAGGUGGUUGCCUGUCCCUUUGUAUAGGCAUUUUGUUUUAAAAAUCUCUGUCGUUUUCAACCCAGUAAGGACAAAAAGUAAGAAAUAGGGUGGAGGUCAUGAAACUUUUAAUUAAAGUUGAUGUUCAUCUAAUAGGUGAAUGCUCAUCUGUUUAGAAGGACAAUAAAGAUAGUAACAGCUUGUGAUCAUGGAUCUCAAGAUGGUAGCAGGAAGGUGUUUGGGGGAAUACUGGAGCUGUUACUCCUUGAAAAAUGCUAUGAACCUUGACAGGAUUUCAGAAAUCUUGCAUGCUUGCUAAGGUUCCUAGCUCUUUAGUUAUUUUUCCAUUUGAGCUCCCACAACGAAUAUCAAACUGGGUGUUUUUCCCUGUGGUUAUCCAGGAUCAAUGCCUUUGCCCUCUCCACCUCAGAUAGCUUAGGGAAAGACAGAGCUCUAAGUGGUGAAGUCUUAUUUUCACUCACCACUACUCAAGACUGAGAAAUUGUAAGGUUCUGGUUCUGCCUAAUAAUCCAUUUGGGACACUUGAAUUCUGGUUUCAACUACCCUAAUUAAUUGUAACACAUUUAUUGAUUCUUUCAUAAUUUAAC